CAGAGAGUAGUUUAAUUAAAAUAUUAAUUUUGGAGAUUAAUGAUAGAGGUGUACUUUUUCUCUGA
rnacentral:tRNA from 1 species